rnacentral:rRNA from 1 species
GAUGAACGCUGGCGGCGUGCCUAACACAUGCAAGUCGAGCGAACGGACGAGAAGCUUGUUUUUCUGAUGUUAGCGGCGGACGGGCGAGUAACACGUGGAUAACCUACUUAUAUGACUGGGAUAAUUUCGGGAAAACGGAGAUAAUACCGGAGAAUAUUUUGUACCGCAUGGUUCAAAAGUGAAUGACGGCCUUGCUGUCUCUUAUAGAUGGAUCCGCGCUGCAUUAGCUAGUUGGUAAGGUAACGGCUUACCAAGGCGACGAUGCAUAGCCGACCUGAGAGGGUGAGCGGCCACACUGGAACUGAGACACGGUCCAGACUCCUACGGGAGGCAGCAGUAGGGAAUCUUCCGCAAUGGGCGAAAGCCUGACGGAGCAACGCCGCGUGAGUGAUGAAGGUCUUCGGGUCGUAAAGCUCUGUUAUUGGGGAAGAACAGAUGUGUGAGUAACUGCGGACAUCUUGACGGUACCUAAUCAGAAAGCAACGGCUAACUACGUG